CUCCUGCCUUAGCCUCCCGAGUAGCUGGGACUACAAGCACCUGCCACCUCGCCCAGAACAGCUGAUGCUUCUUGAACUAUACAUACCGGAUUGAAUCCUCGCAAAGGGAAAGUCGGAGAUCAGAGAUCAGCCUCGUCUGCAAGGUCAGGCAGGAGUCAUAUACCAGCAUCUUUAUCUUCACCGAAAAGAAUCCAUGUGGACAAUGUCUUCCCUUCCACACCGUUCACCGGAGACGUGAAAAUCUGCAGCUGACAUUCCUGGCUGUACUCAAGUUUCUGAGGAAAGGGCUCAACAGAGAAGUAAUUCCUUCCAGGGACUUCGAGCUAUGACCUUGGGAACUGAAAUCUGGACACAAAGGGAACGGGUGUUUGCCUUCACCUCAUGAAAGAACCAUUGGUUUUUCACGGCUCAUUAAGAAAGCUCGGGGAGGUGACUCAACGCCUGUCAUCCCAGCACUUUGAGAGGCCGAGGUGGGCAGAUCACGAGGUCAGGAGUUCGAGACCAGCCUGACCAACACGG